rnacentral:lncRNA from 1 species
ACAUUUUUUCAGAAAUAAAUACAAAUAGAUCUGUGAGUUUGUGACGAUACAAUUCGGAAUUCCCCUUAUUUUCACCAGAUCUGCAGAAAAAACAUAAUAGAUUAUGCAAUAAACUCAAUUCCAAAACCCAAAAUCAGAAUAAAUUAGCAAAACUAAAUGGUCGGUUUACAAACAAGCAUGUAAACAAAAAUUGGAACUUGGGUAGUGAUAAACUUACAGUUUCUGAGAAUAAAACUUGUGGUAAUCUUGCUUUAUUCGGAAAAUAUAUGGGAAAAUACAAAAAAGAUAUUACUUUUUUCACUUUCUUGUUAAGGAAAAACUAUGAACAGGAGAAUUAGGAGAGAGAAAACUUACCAAAACUGGUCUAGAGUCACUUUCUCUCUCAUCGUCGUCUCUAUUGAAAUAAAAGUCGCCGACGAGUUGUUGGAAUUCUUUGUUUAGAGAGAUGGAUGGUGAUGGUGAUGGUGGUGGUGGUGGUAGUAGUAGUGAGGGAGAAGUCUGGGUUCGAAGAGGGAGAAAGAAUAAUAAGAAUAAGUAGAAGAAG